CGAAAUGCCUCUUACUCCUUUUCCUGCGACCCAUUUGAGCAUACAACUCCGAGGUAAAAGACAUAUUUAUCCUCCUUUCACAGAAGGUAGUUAGUGAAACCCUAAAUCUCUGAAAAACAGUUCGAUUAACAGAACAUAUAGCCUGGAAAUCAGAAAACAGGGAUUAACAUAAUAUUCUAGUAGGAGUAAAAUUUUAGUUCGAUUAACAGAACAUGUAGCCUGGAAAUCAGAAAACAGGGAUUAACAUAAUAUUCUAGUAGGAGUAAAAUUUUCUUUUUGGUACCUUCAUACAGAAGGAAUGAUAAUGGGGAAGGAAGAGUGAAGAAGGGUUUUUGGUGAGAGGAAGAAAAAGGAGGUCACUUUCCGGUGCAGACACGUGAUUCUGAAACUGCCACCCUCACUAUUGGCGAUCUGCUCUUUUUGACGUGUCAUGUUACGCCACGUUAGUAGAUCGACGGUGGAAAUCAAUUCAAUGUGGGUUACACUAGGGAGGUUGUCACUAAAGUUGUACGACAUAUUUU
rnacentral:lncRNA from 1 species